CAAGUUAACUAAUUAUCAAACUCACUGGUUUAUUAAGUUUUCUGCAUUAAUAGGAAAGUUUGAUAUUGUGUAAUUGAAGAGUCAUAAUUCUGAGUCACAGAAAAGUAAUCUAUUGCAGAGCCUGUGGAUGUGCUGGAGGAAUCAGUAGAUCCUCCCUCUGUCCUCCAGGUCAUUGAGCCAAUCCAGCAGCUGCUGCCCACCGAACCACACGUCGAACCUUCAGCUGUCAUUCUGCCGUUCGAUGCUGAUGAGCCGGACAGUGCCUGCCGUGAUGUCCAGUGCGUGUCUGCAGUCUCCUCCCUCUCCCAGCCAGUGGACAUUAGCAGAGACAUCACUGGAAUGAUGAGGGGUCCAGAGAGUCGGCUCUGCUGGUUUGAAACCGCAGAGACACACUGCUUGACUCGCGAGGGAUUCCCUUAUUAUACCAGUGAUGAGGAGAUUUUCACUGGCAUUCAG